GAGCUUAUAGUCUAAUGGAUAAGACCUCAACCUUCUAAGUUGUAGAUGAAGGUUCGAGUCCUUCUGAGCUCA
rnacentral:tRNA from 4 species